rnacentral:rRNA from 1 species
UACGGAGGGUGCAAGCGUUGUCCGGAUUUAUUGGGUUUAAAGGGUGCGUAGGCGGCUAUUUAAGUCAGUGGUGAAAGACUCCGGCUCAACCGGAGCAGUGCCAUUGAUACUGGAUAGCUUGAGUGUUGGAGGGGUACAUGGAAUUGAUGGUGUAGCGUUGAAAUGCAUAGAUACCAUCAGGAACACCGAUAGCGAAGGAAUUGUACUGGCCAACAACUGACGCUGAUGCACGAAAGCAUGGGUAGAAAACAGG